rfam:Bacillus sp. HMSC76G11 genomic scaffold Scaffold1380, whole genome shotgun sequence.
AUCACCUUUUAACGAAAGUCCAGAGAGGCUUUUAAGGGUGGAUGAGCAUUGGCAGAUCAGCCUGAUGAUUUGUCAUGCUUCCUCACACCCUGAAUCUCUGAUCAGGGUGUUUUUUUGA